CUUAAGCCUCGAUAGUUCUCUCUUCUAUCUCUUGUCUCUCCCGUCUGCCUCUCUCCACGGUCUUGUUCUUCCCACCAUUGCCUUCACCACGGCCAUAGACAGAGAGACUCUGUCUCUUGCAUCUCCCUCUCUCCAUGCUCUCCCUCUCCCGUCUCUUUCUUUCUCCUCCCUUCUUCUAGGUCAGAGGGAUUUGGGUUUUAAUUUUAGGGUUAUUGAUUUGGGGUUACUGAUUUGGGUUUUAUCUAACCAUUUGGGUGUUGGCUUGCGGUUGCUCUACCUCGAUCAACAAAGGUGCUUAGCUUUUUCAUCUCUCUUGCCCUCUACGGCUGUUGCACUCACUCUGAAGCUUUGAUAGAGAUUGUUGUGUAGUUUUUAGCCUAAAAAUACAAACCAAAAAGUGGAGAAGUGGCUGCAGAGAUAGUUGUUUCCUGAGCCACGCCGCUCCUGUUUAUUGCUUUGCUCCUCAUGAGCCUUCAAACCCUUAACUUGAGUUGAGAGUUGAGAUCUUCAGCCCUCCUUUGGACUUGGGCUCCAAAACUGAAAAGUAUUUGCAGCCCUUGAGUUGAGAGUUGAUAUCACUCUUGCUUUGCAUUCAAACAGAGGUAUAGUCUUCAAACCUUGAAUUCAGUUUUGGUCUCUUUUUCUGCAUUUGAAUAUUUGUGCCAUUUCUGGAUUUUUUGUAUGACGUUUUCUGCAAUAUUGAUAAAACUAAAUAAAAAUAUAGUUUGGUGAUUAUUGAAAACUGAUGGGUAUAUUUUAUAUUAUAUAUUUAACCUCAUUCUUAGUAUAUUUUGGUUAAUAUUUUGGAAGAAUUUUGAUACUUUGAAUUAUAUUUUCAAUAUAGGACUUUUGAUUUCCUCUGGAGCAAAACGUAAUCAAAUGGACAAAUUUUGGAGUAAUUCCAGUUGGAGGACGUUCGUGAGCCACUUAGCAUGAUCGUAUCAAAAUUUCAGAUUUUUCUACCAAGCGGUUAUUUUCUGGCGAUAAAAUAAAGGAGCAGUGCCCGGUGCUGGAAUAGUGAUAUUUUGGGCUUUUAUUGCAUUUUUAGAGCCCAAAAUGACCUCGGAUGGGUUCGUGGCCUUCUGAAGAAGUGUUCAGAAUAUUUUUAUCUUUAAAACAAGCUAUCUUGGGCCAGAUUUGGAGGAGAUUUGAGGCUAAAACGUGGCUGGGCAGAUUGUAGGCAAAUUCUCCUAAUCCAAUUUGGACUUUAUUUCCUAGUAUUAUUUUAUUUUACUUAGUUUCCUUGUGGGGAUAGAAAAGUUGUACAUUGGCAGCUAGGUUUUAAGGGGUAUUUAAGCUCUUUCUCACAACAAUUUUAAGGACUUCUUUUUGGCUCUGGAACGUAGAGAGCAAUUGCUAGGGUUUUGGGUUUUCAGCGACUUUCAAGUGUUUUCAUUCUUAUUCAUUUGAAUGAUAUUUUCUUUGAUUUUAAUUA